rnacentral:lncRNA from 1 species
UCGCGCUUCCCUCAGCCUCCUCCGAGACCGACCUUUCCAUCGGUCUCUCUCUACCUAGAUGUUUCUCUCUCUAUCUCUCUGUUUCUAUGUAUUUUAUUCAUUCGAUCGGUGUAUUGAUUUUGCAGGCAGUAUUUUCAGCGCCGGUGGCGGUGGACCGUUCGAGAAGGUGUUGUCGUCCAAUUGGGUCGACAUGAUCGACAGAUUUCAGAAGUCGGCA